rnacentral:lncRNA from 1 species
CUUCCCUUCAUCUCGUCACAUAGGCAUUUUCUCAUCUCACAUCAUCACAAGAAGAGAAAGGCUGGCUUCCAUCAGAGACUUCCCGAUUGGCCGUACAGUCAUUGCAGUGGCUGGCAUGGGUUUCCCUCAUGAUCAUGCUGGUUUUAGAAGAAUCUUGUCUAUAGCCAUAAGAAAUCUUGCUGAGAUUUUGAAGGGAAUUGCACUAUAAACAUCUUUACCACAUAGAGCCUUCCCAUCUAUGAACACAGAAUGCCUCUCCAUUUAUUUAGAUCUUUGAUUCUUUUCAUCUGUGCUUUGCAGUUUCCAGCAUAAAGCUUUUGUACAUAUUUUAUUGGAUUUACAUCUAGGUAUUCUGUUUUUGAGAGCAAAUGAUGUUGUAUUUUUAAU